AAAAUGCUUAGAAUGUGUCCAUUUUAAUAGGUUUUAAUGCAUAAGACAGUAGAUAGAAUAAAUAUUAGAUAAUAUAAAUAUGAGAGUUUUCUUACAGCCUUAAUCUGUCAUUGUUUCGUUUCAGACUGUCAGUCAAUUUUGGAAGCCUGAAGUGGGUUCAUUUUAAGUUUCCAUAUUCCAUAUGUUAAGAUAUGUUCAGUGUUGCUGCUGUGGAAGUGUUGUGGGUGACUUUUUAUUGAUGCAGGUCUAAUCAUACUUUAAGAGGUUCUCUAGACCAUGCAACUUUUUAAGUUCCUACG